UAGUACAAAUCUUUCUGUUUCCUUUCUUUAACACCUGGUUAAUUAUUAAUUGUUGCGCCUCUCUUCCCCUGGACUAACAGAUAAUACGACUCUUGUUUAUCAUCUUUUCAUAAACUUUUACAUUCAGAUCUGUUUCCAUUUCAUUCUCUAUCAACAAAUACCAAGAAGUCAAACAGCUUGAAGAGAGACUCUAAAUAGAGAAGUUAGCUUUAUCACAUCAUGCUCACAUUGUGAAACUGUGUGUGGUUUGACAGGAAAAAUACAGCUUUGAAAAGACUUUAACCCUGUGUUGUGUCUGUUAGAGCAAAACAGAACACAUACAUUAUUGUAGUCCGACAGGGAAACCAGUCAGAGACUCUAUAAUGUCUAUCUUUGUGAUACUGGGACUGCUGGUCUGCACUGAGGCACCAGAACCAGUGCUGUGACUCCUGUGUUUGUGCAGAAGGGAAAUGAUGUUCUUCUAAAUGUCAUGAAAACUGAUGUUCUUCAGGACAUUUUUUCUGUUGUGUGGAACUUCAAUAAAAAGGAUGUUUAGUAAGAUUUUCGCCUGAUAGAGAACCAACAGUCUUCCUCCUUACACUGGAAGAGAUGAGUUUUCUGUGAAUGAUUACUCCCUUAAAAUAAAUAAUCUACAAGAGA